CCUACGGGCGGCUGCAGUGAGGAAUAUUGGUCAAUGGACGCAAGUCUGAACCAGCCAUGCCGCGUGGAGGAUGACAGCCUUCUGGGUUGUAAACUUCUUUUAUAUGGGAAGAAAAGUACGGUUUCUACUGUAUCCGACGGUACCAUAUGAAUAAGCACCGGCUAACUCCGUGCCAGCAGCCGCGGUAAUACUGAGGGUGCAAGCGUUAUCCGGAUUAACUGGGUUGAAAGGGUGUAUAUACGUAUGUUGUGAAAUCUCCGGGCUCAACCCGGAAACUGCCUUUGAUACUAUUUAUCUUGAAUUUCGUUGAGGUUGGCGGAAUAUAUCAUGUAGCGGUGAAAUGCAUAGAUAUGAUAUAGAACACCGAUUGCGUAGGCAGCUGGCUGAACGAACAUUGACGCUGAGGCACGAAAGCGUGGGUAGCGAACAGGAUUAGAUACCCGUGUAGUC
rnacentral:rRNA from 1 species